rnacentral:rRNA from 1 species
AUUGAACGCUGGCGGCAGGCCUAACACAUGCAAGUCGAGCGGAAGAAGGGUGCUUGCUCCUGGAUUCAGCUGCGGACGGGUGAGUAAUGCCUAGGAAUCUCCCUUGUUGUGGUUGAUUACGUCCUGAAACGGGCGCUAAUACCCCAUUCUCCCUUACGGACAAAGUGGGGGAUCUUCGGAUCUCCCGCUCUUAGAUGAGUCUAUGUCGGAUUAGCUAGUUGGUGGGGUAAAGGCCUACCAAGGCGACGAUCCGUAACUGGUCUGAGAGGAUGAGCAGCCACACUGGAACUGAGACACGGUCCAGACUCCUACGGGAGGCAGCAGUGGGGAAUAUUGGACAAUGGGCGCAAGCCUGAUCCAGCCAUGCCGCGUGUGUGAAGAAGGUCUUCGGAUUGUAAAGCACUUUAGGUUGGAAGGAAGGGCAGUAAGUUAAUACCUUGCUGUUUUGACGUUACCAAAAGAAUAAGCACCGGCUAACUUCGUG